rnacentral:rRNA from 1 species
GCGAUACAGGGUGACAGCCCCGUACACAAAAAUGCACAUGCUGUGAGCUCGAUGAGUAGGGCGGGACACGUGGUAUCCUGUCUGAAUAUGGGGGGACCAUCCUCCAAGGCUAAAUACUCCUGACUGACCGAUAGUGAACCAGUACCGUGAGGGAAAGGCGAAAAGAACCCCGGCGAGGGGAGUGAAAAAGAACCUGAAACCGUGUACGUACAAGCAGUGGGAGCACGCUUAGGCGUGUGACUGCGUACCUUUUGUAUAAUGGGUCAGCGACUUAUAUUCUGUAGCAAGGUUAACCGAAUAGGGGAGCCGAAGGGAAACCGAGUCUUAACUGGGCGUUAAGUUGCAGGGUAUAGACCCGAAACCCGGUGAUCUAGCCAUGGGCAGGUUGAAGGUUGGGUAACACUAACUGGAGGACCGAACCGACUAAUGUUGAAAAAUUAGCGGAUGACUUGUGGCUGGGGGUGAAAGGCCAAUCAAACCGGGAGAUAGCUGGUUCUCCCCGAAAGCUAUUUAGGUAGCGCCUCGUGAAUUCAUCUCCGGGGGUAGAGCACUGUUUCGGCAAGGGGGUCAUCCCGACUUACCAACCCGAUGCAAACUGCGAAUACCGGAGAAUGUUAUCACGGGAGACACACGGCGGGUGCUAACGUCCGUCGUGAAGAGGGAAACAACCCAGACCGCCAGCUAAGGUCCCAAAGUCAUGGUUAAGUGGGAAACGAUGUGGGAAGGCCCAGACAGCCAGGAUGUUGGCUUAGAAGCAGCCAUCAUUUAAAGAAAGCGUAAUAGCUCACUGGUCGAGUCGGCCUGCGCGGAAGAUGUAACGGGGCUAAACCAUGCACCGAAGCUGCGGCAGCGACGCUGAUGCGUUGUUGGGUAGGGGAGCGUUCUGUAAGCCUGCGAAGGUGUGCUGUGAGGCAUGCUGGAGGUAUCAGAAGUGCGAAUGCUGACAUAAGUAACGAUAAAGCGGGUGAAAAGCCCGCUCGCCGGAAGACCAAGGGUUCCUGUCCAACGUUAAUCGGGGCAGGGUGAGUCGACCCCUAAGGCGAGGCCGAAAGGCGUAGUCGAUGGGAAACAGGUUAAUAUUCCUGUACUUGGUGUUACUGCGAAGGGGGGACGGAGAAGGCUAUGUUGGCCGGGCGACGGUUGUCCCGGUUUAAGCGUGUAGGCUGGUUUUCCAGGCAAAUCCGGAAAAUCAAGGCUGAGGCGUGAUGACGAGGCACUACGGUGCUGAAGCAACAAAUGCCCUGCUUCCAGGAAAAGCCUCUAAGCAUCAGGUAACAUCAAAUCGUACCCCAAACCGACACAGGUGGUCAGGUAGAGAAUACCAAGGCGCUUGAGAGAACUCGGGUGAAGGAACUAGGCAAAAUGGUGCCGUAACUUCGGGAGAAGGCACGCUGAUAUGUAGGUGAGGUCCCUCGCGGAUGGAGCUGAAAUCAGUCGAAGAUACCAGCUGGCUGCAACUGUUUAUUAAAAACACAGCACUGUGCAAACACGAAAGUGGACGUAUACGGUGUGACGCCUGCCCGGUGCCGGAAGGUUAAUUGAUGGGGUUAGCGCAAGCGAAGCUCUUGAUCGAAGCCCCGGUAAACGGCGGCCGUAACUAUAACGGUCCUAAGGUAGCGAAAUUCCUUGUCGGGUAAGUUCCGACCUGCACGAAUGGCGUAAUGAUGGCCAGGCUGUCUCCACCCGAGACUCAGUGAAAUUGAACUCGCUGUGAAGAUGCAGUGUACCCGCGGCAAGACGGAAAGACCCCGUGAACCUUUACUAUAGCUUGACACUGAACAUUGAGCCUUGAUGUGUAGGAUAGGUGGGAGGCUUAGAAGUGUGGACGCCAGUCUGCAUGGAGCCGACCUUGAAAUACCACCCUUUAAUGUUUGAUGUUCUAACGUUGACCCGUAAUCCGGGUUGCGGACAGUGUCUGGUGGGUAGUUUGACUGGGGCGGUCUCCUCCUAAAGAGUAACGGAGGAGCACGAAGGUUGGCUAAUCCUGGUCGGACAUCAGGAGGUUAGUGCAAUGGCAUAAGCCAGCUUGACUGCGAGCGUGACGGCGCGAGCAGGUGCGAAAGCAGGUCAUAGUGAUCCGGUGGUUCUGAAUGGAAGGGCCAUCGCUCAACGGAUAAAAGGUACUCCGGGGAUAACAGGCUGAUACCGCCCAAGAGUUCAUAUCGACGGCGGUGUUUGGCACCUCGAUGUCGGCUCAUCACAUCCUGGGGCUGAAGUAGGUCCCAAGGGUAUGGCUGUUCGCCAUUUAAAGUGGUACGCGAGCUGGGUUUAGAACGUCGUGAGACAGUUCGGUCCCUAUCUGCCGUGGGCGCUGGAGAACUGAGGGGGGCUGCUCCUAGUACGAGAGGACCGGAGUGGACGCAUCACUGGUGUUCGGGUUGUCAUGCCAAUGGCACUGCCCGGUAGCUAAAUGCGGAAGAGAUAAGUGCUGAAAGCAUCUAAGCACGAAACUUGCCCCGAGAUGAGUUCUCCCUGACUCCUUGAGAGUCCUGAAGGAACGUUGAAGACGACGACGUUGAUAGGCCGGGUGUGUAAGCGCAGCGAUGCGUUGAGCUAACCGGUACUAAUGAACCGUGAGGCUUAACCUU